rnacentral:rRNA from 1 species
UGGGGAAUCUUCCGCAAUGGACGAAAGUCUGACGGAGCAACGCCGCGUGAGUGAAGAAGGUUUUCGGAUCGUAAAACUCUGUUUUCAGGGACGAAUGUGCGAUAUGUGAAUAAUGUGUUGUAAUGACGGUACCUGACAAGAAAGCCACGGCUAACUACGUGCCAGCAGCCGCGGUAAUACGUAGGUGGCAAGCGUUGUCCGGAAUUAUUGGGCGUAAAGCGCGCGCAGGUGGGAUAAUAAGUCUGAUGUUAAAGUUCGGGGCUCAACCCCGUGAAGCAUUUGGAUACUGUUAUUCUUGAGUGCAGGAGAGGAAAGUGGAAUUCCUAGUGUAGCGGUGAAAUGCGUAGAUAUUAGGAGGAACACCAGUGGCGAAGGCGACUUUCUGGACUGUGUCUGACACUGAGGCGCGAAAGCCAGGGUAGUGAACGGGAUUAGAUACCCCGGUAAUCCUGGCCGUAAACGAUGGGUACUAGGUGUUGGGGGUAUCGACCCCUCCAGUGCCGGAGUUAACG